GGCGAAUUCACUAGUGAUUCAGGCCUAACACAUGCAAGUCGAGCGGUAGAGAGAAGCUUGCUUCUCUUGAGAGCGGCGGACGGGUGAGUAAUGCCUAGGAAUCUGCCUGGUAGUGGGGGAUAACGUUCGGAAACGGACGCUAAUACCGCAUACGUCCUACGGGAGAAAGCAGGGGACCUUCGGGCCUUGCGCUAUCAGAUGAGCCUAGGUCGGAUUAGCUAGUUGGUGAGGUAAUGGCUCACCAAGGCGACGAUCCGUAACUGGUCUGAGAGGAUGAUCAGUCACACUGGAACUGAGACACGGUCCAGACUCCUACGGGAGGCAGCAGUGGGGAAUAUUGGACAAUGGGCGAAAGCCUGAUCC
rnacentral:rRNA from 1 species